UACGGAGGGGGCUAGCGUUGUUCGGAAUUACUGGGCGUAAAGCGCGCGUAGGCGGACCUGCAAGUCGGGGGUGAAAGCCCGAGGCUCAACCUCGGAACUGCCUUCGAUACUGCGGGUCUCGAGUCCGGGAGAGGUGAGUGGAAUUCAUGGUGUAGCAGUGAAAUGCGUAGAGAUCAUGAGGAAGACCAGUGGCGGAAGGCGGGUCUCUGGACAGUUCCUGACACUGAGACACGAAGGCCAGGGGAGCAAACGGG
rnacentral:rRNA from 1 species